AACAGGAUUAGAUACCCUGGUAGUCCACGCUGUAAACGAUGUCGACUUGGAGGUUGUUCCCUUGAGGAGUGGCUUCCGGAGCUAACGCGUUAAGUCGACCGCCUGGGGAGUACGGCCGCAAGGUUAAAACUCAAAUGAAUUGACGGGGGCCCGCACAAGCGGUGGAGCAUGUGGUUUAAUUCGAUGCAACGCGAAGAACCUUACCUACUCUUGACAUCCAGAGAACUUAGCAGAGAUGCUUUGGUGCCUUCGGGAACUCUGAGACAGGUGCUGCAUGGCUGUCGUCAGCUCGUGUUGUGAAAUGUUGGGUUAAGUCCCGCAACGAGCGCAACCCUUAUCCUUUGUUGCCAGCGGUUAGGCCGGGAACUCAAAGGAGACUGCCAGUGAUAAACUGGAGGAAGGUGGGGAUGACGUCAAGUCAUCAUGGCCCUUGCGAGUAGGGCUACACACGUGCUACAAUGGCGCAUACAAAGAGAAGCGACCUCGCGAGAGCAAGCGGACCUCAUAAAGUGCGUCGUAGUCCGGAUUGGAGUCCGCAACUCGACUCCAUGAAGUCGGAAUCGCUAGUAAUCGUGGAUCAGAAUGCCACGGUGAAUACGUUCCCGGGCCUUGUACACACCGCCCGUCACACCAUGGGAGUGGGUUGCAAAAGAAGUAGGUAGCUUAACCUUCGGGAGGGCGCUUACCACUUCGUGAUUCAUGACUGGGGUGAAGUCGUAACAAGGUAACC
rnacentral:rRNA from 1 species